UUGAAAUAUUUGCUGAAGAGUUUUAAUCUUUGUUUCUUUCCAUCUAAGUCUCUCAGGUGAGCGACCCUGGGCCCUUGAGGGCCUCUUGUUUUAAGUACCUUUACAGUCAAAAGGCAGAUGCAAACAGAAGAUAUAAGAUGUUAUUAGAUACAAGUUUGUAAGUCUGUGGAAAUCGUAUUCAAAUGGAUACAUAACUUUGGUGAAAUAUCUGUACUUCCAGUAGCAAAUGAUAACUACAUGUCAUCUGUUAGUAGUAGUAAAUAGUCUGUCAUUAACAAAACAGGGGUGUGGAAUUCUGUUUAACUUGCAUAGGUUUUAGUACUGUCUUACAAGUAAACUUUAUCAGUCUCUUUGUUCAUAGACAAUUAUUAUGAUGAUGACAUUUCAUGGCAUGAAAAUGAUGUAUUAUGUACCAUGACUUUAUCCAUAGACAGUUAAACAAUUGUGGUUUCUCCACACCGGUGUUAGAAAAUAAUUGCAAAUCUUCAUAAAGCCAUGUUGGCAUAAUCUAUAUGUAAUGGGUUAUUAUAAUAAAGAAAAUAAGAUAACAAUUCUCAAUAAACAACUUGUUUUAACUCCACUAAUAAUCUUAAUUAUUUGUUAAUGUAAACAUGUAUAAUCAAUGUAACUUUAUGUAAUGUCAUUUUUUAUGUACCUUUGAAAAAGAAAUUACAUGGUGUACUUUUGAAGCAUGCAUUUCUUUGACGUUUAUUAACUGUGCUUUUUUGUUUCUUUCUUGGUUUGUUUUUAACCAGGUUUUCCGAAGGAAAAAACUGGUUAUUAGAUUGGCGAAUGCGGGCGGGCUGGCUGGCGGGCUGGCUGGCUGGCGGGCUGGCGGAAUAAGCUUGUCCGGGCCAUAACUAUGUCGUUCAUUGUCAGAUUUUAAAAUCAUUUGGCACAUUUGUUCACCAUCAUUGGACGGUGUGUCGCGCGAAAUAAUUACGUCGAUAUCUCCAAGGUCAAGGUCACACUUUGAGUUCAAAGGUCAAAAAUGGCCAUAAAUGAGCUUGUCCUGGCCAUAACUAUGUCAUUCAUUGUGAGAUUUUAAAAUCAUUUGGCACAUUUGUUCACCAUCAUGGGACGGUGUGUCCCACGAAAGAAUCACGUCAAUAUCUCCAAUGUCAAGGUCGCCACGACUAAAAAUAGAUUUAAAAAAAAAAAAAAACUUACAAAGGGGGUUAAUUUUUUUUGGUCAUUUCAAAA